rnacentral:rRNA from 1 species
GGUUAAGCGACUAAGCGUACACGGUGGAUGCCCUGGCAGUCAGAGGCGAUGAAGGACGUGCUAAUCUGCGAUAAGCGCCGGUAAGGUGAUAUGAACCGUUAUAACCGGCGAUUUCCGAAUGGGGAAACCCAGUGUGACUCGUCACACUAUCAUUAACUGAAUCCAUAGGUUAAUGAGGCGAACCGGGGGAACUGAAACAUCUAAGUACCCCGAGGAAAAGAAAUCAACCGAGAUUCCCCCAGUAGCGGCGAGCGAACGGGGAGGAGCCCAGAGCCUGAAUCAGCAUGUGUGUUAGUGGAAGCGUCUGGAAAGGCGCGCGAUACAGGGUGACAGCCCCGUACACAAAAGCGCAUGUGCUGUGAGCUCGAUGAGUAGGGCGGGACACGUGGUAUCCUGUCUGAAUAUGGGGGGACCAUCCUCCAAGGCUAAAUACUCCUGACUGACCGAUAGUGAACCAGUACCGUGAGGGAAAGGCGAAAAGAACCCCGGCGAGGGGAGUGAAAAAGAACCUGAAACCGUGUACGUACAAGCAGUGGGAGCCCCACCACUAAGCCAGUGGUGAACUCCACAUACGCAUCCUUUGCUGAGGAUACGGUUAACGGAGCGAAAGCGACGUUCAACCUCAAAAGAAGCAGAGGGGGCUUAGUGGUGGGGUGACUGCGUACCUUUUGUAUAAUGGGUCAGCGACUUAUAUUCUGUAGCAAGGUUAACCGAAUAGGGGAGCCGGAGGGAAACCGAGUCUUAAUUGGGCGUUAAGUUGCAGGGUAUAGACCCGAAACCCGGUGAUCUAGCCAUGGGCAGGUUGAAGGUUGGGUAACACUAACUGGAGGACCGAACCGACUAAUGUUGAAAAAUUAGCGGAUGACCUGUGGCUGGGGGUGAAAGGCCAAUCAAACCGGGAGAUAGCUGGUUCUCCCCGAAAGCUAUUUAGGUAGCGCCUCGUGAAUUCAUCUCCGGGGGUAGAGCACUGUUUCGGCUAGGGGGCCAUCCCGGCUUACCAACCCGAUGCAAACUGCGAAUACCGGAGAAUGUUAUCACGGGAGACACACGGCGGGUGCUAACGUCCGUCGUGAAGAGGGAAACAACCCAGACCGCCAGCUAAGGUCCCAAAGUCAUGGUUAAGUGGGAAACGAUGUGGGAAGGCCCAGACAGCCAGGAUGUUGGCUUAGAAGCAGCCAUCAUUUAAAGAAAGCGUAAUAGCUCACUGGUCGAGUCGGCCUGCGCGGAAGAUGUAACGGGGCUAAACCAUGCACCGAAGCUGCGGCAGCGACGCUUAUGCGUUGUUGGGUAGGGGAGCGUUCUGUAAGCCUGUGAAGGUGUGUCGUGAGGCAUGCUGGAGGUAUCAGAAGUGCGAAUGCUGACAUAAGUAACGAUAAAGCGGGUGAAAAGCCCGCUCGCCGGAAGACCAAGGGUUCCUGU